AUGAACGCUGGCGGCGUGCCUAAUACAUGCAAGUCGAGCGAACAGACGAGGAGCUUGCUCCUCUGACGUUAGCGGCGGACGGGUGAGUAACACGUGGAUAACCUACCUAUAAGACUGGGAUAACUUCGGGAAACCGGAGCUAAUACCGGAUAAUAUAUUGAACCGCAUGGUUCAAUAGUGAAAGACGGUUUUGCUGUUACUUAUAGAUGGAUCCGCGCCGCAUUAGCUAGUUGGUAAGGUAACGGCUUACCAAGGCAACGAUGCGUAGCCGACCUGAGAGGGUGAUCGGCCACACUGGAACUGAGACACGGUCCAGACUCCUACGGGAGGCAGCAGUAGGGAAUCUUCCGCAAUGGGCGAAAGCUUGACGGAGCAACGCCGCGUGAGUGAUGAAGGUCUUCGGAUCGUAAAACUCUGUUAUUAGGGAAGAACAAAUGUGUAAGUAACUAUGCACGUCUUGACGGUACCUAAUCAGAAAGCCACGGCUAACUACGUG
rnacentral:rRNA from 1 species